AAUAGUGCACUAUAGGGGCUAGGGUGCCAUUUGGGACGAACACAGGGUUUGCAGUCCCAUGAACUCGCAGUAACAGCAGCAAAUGGAACUUAACAAGACAUUCAUUAACUGCAUCCUACUAUCUUAUCAAGGGGAAGUAAUAAAGUUUCCCGUGUGUAUCAAGAAUGGUCCACCACCCAAAGGAUAUCCAGCCAACUUGACACAACUACGGGAGGCAUUGGUGUCUACAUGAGCCAGCGUCCCAUGUAGUGUCCAUGCAAAGAGGAAUUGAUGUUGUUCUGAAAGCAMAACGAUUCAUGUCAUGACCAUGAGCUCCUACAUGCGCUCCAGUAUUAAAGUUGCCAUCCAGUGGCCACCACUAUUCCUCCAGCCACAUCUGGAACUCCAAGAAAGACAGGCUGGCAGACAGACACAUACAAAGGGCCAGCUCUAGCUUUUUGGGGACCCAAAGCGAGAUUUGGUUGGAGGAGGAGGAGGGGUCCCCCCCCCCCACCAA